AGAGUUUGAUUCUGGCUCAGAACGAACGCUGGCGGCGUGGAUAAGACAUGCAAGUCGGACGAUCAUUUCAGGGUAGCAAUAUUCUGGAGUGGGAGUGGCGUAAGGGUGCGUAACACGUGGGUAAUUUGCCAUGAAGUUGGGGAUAACUCGCUGAAAGGCGAGCUAAUACCGGAUGUGGCUGCCGAGAGAAUCUUUUGGUAGCUAAAGUUGGGGACCGUAAGGCCUGACGCUUCAUGAUGAGCCCGCGGCCUAUCAGCUAGUUGGUGAGGUAACGGCUCACCAAGGCUAAGACGGGUAGCUGGUCUGAGAGGACGACCAGCCACACUGGAACUGAGACACGGUCCAGACACCUACGGGUGGCAGCAGUCGAGAAUUUUUCACAAUGGGCGAAAGCCUGAUGGAGCGACGCCGCGUGGGGGAUGAAUGGCUUCGGCCCGUAAACCCCUGUCAUUUGCGAUCAAACCUUUCGACCUAAUACGUCGAAAGCUGAUAGUAGCGAAAGAGGAAGGGACGGCUAACUCUGUGCCAGCAGCCGCGGUAAUACAGAGGUCCCAAGCGUUGUUCGGAUUCACUGUGCGUAAAGGGUGCGUAGGUGGUGAGAAAAGUUUGGUGUGAAAGCUUCGAGCCUAACUCGAAAAUGGCAUCAAAAACUUUCUUGCUCGAGGGUUGGAGGGGAGACUGGAAUUCUCGGUGUAGCGGUGAAAUGCGUAGAUAUCGAGAGGAACACCAGUGGCGAAGGCGAGUCUCUGGACAACUCCUGACACUGAGGCACGAAAGCUAGGGGAGCGAACAGGAUUAGAUACCCUGGUAGUCCUAGCUGUAAACGGUGCACAUUUGCCGUGAGCGGAAUCGACCCCGUUCGUGGCGAAGCUAACGCGUUAAAUGUGCCGCCUGGGGAGUACGGUCGCAAGAUUAAAACUCAAAGAAAUUGACGGGGGCCUGCACAAGCGGUGGAGUAUGUGGCUUAAUUCGAUGCAACGCGAAGAACCUUACCUGGCCUUGACAUGCAAGUAGUAGAAGGAUGAAAGUCUAACGACCCCGCAAGGGGAGCUUGCACAGGUGCUGCAUGGCUGUCGUCAGCUCGUGUCGUGAGAUGUUGGGUUAAGUCCCGCAACGAGCGCAACCCCCGUGUCCUGUUGCCACUCCCGCGAGAGCGGGAAGCACUCUGGACAGACUGCCUCGUCUUAACGAGGAGGAAGGUGG
rnacentral:rRNA from 1 species